rnacentral:rRNA from 1 species
UACGUAGGGAGCGAGCGUUGUCCGGAUUUAUUGGGCGUAAAGAGCUUGUAGGCGGUUCAGCAAGUCGGGUGUGAAAACUCUGAGCUCAACCCAGAGACGCCACCCGAUACUGCUGUGACUUGAGUCUGGUAGGGGAUCGCGGAAUUCCAGGUGUAGCGGUGAAAUGCACAGAUAUCUGGAGGAACACCAGCAGCGAAGGCGGCGAUCUGGGCCAGUACUGACGCUGAGGCGCGAAAGCUAGGGGAGCAAACGGG